AAUAUUAAUAUUUUUAGGUAUUUAUUCGAAGGAAAAACUUUAUUUGGUAAAGAAGCAUUUUCGUCCAUAAACUUUAAUACAUCUUCUAACAACUUUUACAUCUUUUUUUUAUUCUAAACCUAUUUCCUAAUUCUGCAAUUAUUUUUAAAAUGUCAUGGCUGUACUAAAAGUUGAUUUUGAUUUCUAAGUCUUUAUCAGAAUUUUGUUUUUGGUUUGUUUAUUAAGUGAUGAUCAAACUAACAUCAAAAAGCUAAAUUGCCGCCCGUGGCAUAGAGGAUAGCCUUCCAGUCUUCUAAGCCAACAGUCAUGAGAUCAAAUCCCGGUCACGGCAUACAUAGUACACUUUCUGUGGGUUGGUGGUUUUAGCAUUUAUAAGAUGCUAGCCAUCAUAUCCUCGAAAGAUGUACGCUUAGAGUUAAGUGAAGGGAAUCUCUUCGAGAAAAACGCCAAGUUUCAUUGAGAUCCUGUAUGUGUUUGUGUUCGUUUAAAAAAAAUAUAUAUAUAUUAUGUGUAUAGCACCAAACCGAAUAUCGACAGUAGGACUAGCGACGCUUUUUUACUAGCGAGAUUUCUGUCGUUCGCUGGUUUGUUUUUCUUUUUUUAGUCCAGUAGGCCGAUUUCGAUGUAGUACUCGAAAAUUGUUUAUGUUAUUUGCUGUGAAUUUUCCUUAGGCCAUCAAUCGCAUGCUCCAGGUCUCCUAGGAAACUUGCGGUGCGUCGUUAUUAUUUUCAACGUCGCGACGUAUGCGACGUGUCGCUAGUAGGCAAAGCUGCUAUGAUUAUUAGCGCUCAUAUUUUGGAUUUUUUCUGCAUGCAUUAUAUAUGAGUUGAAAAAAAUCGGUUCGUUGAAAAGUGAAAUACAGUGAAGCAAAGCCAAAGUUAGAUGUAUAUUAUUAUGUAAGAUUUAUAAUUGUUAUGGAAGAUCUGAGAUAGCUAUCAAAACUUUCAUUGGACCCCAGCAUAUUCCUACAUCAUCGGUUGAAUCUAUUCUUGACGAUUCCAAAAAUCCAAGAUACACUGAAAUACAACAAAUCUGUCAAGAAUUAAAAGUAUUUUAAAAAUAUUUUUUUACUGUUUGAAACACUUGAAAUUGUUAUGUUAUGAAAUAUUGAAAAAUUAGAAUAAAUUAUUGACACAACGAAUCAUUAAAAUUGGUUAACAUGUUCGGCCAAGGAACCACAAACAAACUACUAUAAUGUUUAACAUUUCAAAUUUCCAAGUGAAAACUGAGAAUUCAUUCAACAAAUUAAAAUAUCUGUUUAAAAAAAUCAAACAGAUUGAAUUCCAAAUCACUAAUUGUAUAACAAUUUAAAAUAUGAAUUUGUGAUUAGAACUCAUAGAAACAUUGACAGAAGGAUCAAUCUGAAUCUAUAAUAUAUUCGAGACUCAGAGGUUAAGACAUUAUUUUGAAGAUUUCACUAGUAUGGAGAAGAAACAACUUGCAAGGGUUACGAUUUUGAACAGAAUUGAGAAUUUAAACUUAAAUUUUUGUUAUCGAAAAAUAUAAUGUUUGAAACCUUUUUCUUUUAAUUUUAUCGGGAAUCAAAAUAAGAACAAGAGAGCUGAAACGGAAUGCUUGUAAUAAAAAAAAUUUGAAAGAAAUUUUAUAACCACAUUUUAUAGACCAUAUCUCGCGACCGAUUGUAAAGUUUUUUCAAAUUUUGACUUAUUUUUUUCAACCCGUAAAAUGAGCAUUUAUGAAUUAAAAAUUGUUGGUUUAGUUAUUCUAAGGCCCGGAAAAUAUUUAUCUAUUUAAAAUGAUAGUUUUAUGCGCAUAACAAACAAAUGAACCUCUAUGGAUUUUAACGGAUGUUCAAAACCAAAAAAAAAUUAAGGCUUAUUUGUAGAAUUUGAAGAAAAAAUAAUAGUGACAAUCCCUUGUACAGUUUUUCUUUAUAUUAAUUUACAUCUUGUAGUACGAACUUUUAUGAUAUAAAAAUUUCAAUACUUCGUUUUAGUAUUUCAACAGAGCACAUUGUAAGUUUAUUUUAUGUCUGGAAUUAGGUGUUAGAAAAGAAGUGCACCAAAGUUUAAAAUGAUCAAUUUUAUCAGGUUAUAAUGGUAAAUCGCCAAAAUUUGGACAUUUCCUUAAUUUGCAAUUUUUGGCUCUUCUGUUUCAAAAGGUUGCCGACCGCUGCGCUAACCUGAUAGUUACAGGAGAGUUAAAGCUGUUCUUAAAUUUCUUGGUAUAUUCUUACUGCUGUUUUUAAUCUGUGAGUACAUAUCAAAACAGCUAUCAGAAAAGGGGUAGGCUUGAUAGCGGCACGGCAAUAAAAAAUUAGUAAAAUAGAAUUGGCAACGCUUCCAAGACGUUUUCCACCCCAACGAUAUCUUAAGAAACAGAAGCAACAACGUGCCACCCCUUCGUGCGUGUGAGCCACCAAGGAAAGAAAAUCUCAGCUAGCAAGCAACUUACGACCUAGGGGGUGGGUAAUGGCAGCAAGGGGAAAAUUUUACAUCUUAUUUGCCCUUACUCCUUAUAAAAUACUUCGAAAGCGUCGGUAGAAGGAAGAGUAGAGGGAAAACAGCAGCAGGAAAGGAAACUUUUCGCGCACACUCCUUGGAAGAAGCCCGAUUUUUUGUUGCUCUUUGGCACUUCUUGAGUAGCAGCAGCAUAACGCGCGAAGUUUCGUUUUUUUUCGGCUUCUUUCCACUUCGAUCCUUAAAUUUGUAUGAAUGUGUGCGUUCGCGUACAGUUGUGCCUCGGUAAGAUUGUGUGUUCCAAGGCUUCGCAGCAUCCAAUCGCAGAAUUUUAUUUCGGCGCAAAAAUACAGCAACGCAAGUAAGGGUGGGUUUUUCGCCGAGCGUCUUAGAAAUGGUGGAAGUUUUUUUUGUUGGUUGGGUAAGGAAGGAAUUUGCAACCUGCAGGGGUAGAAAAAACGAACCCCCUCGGAAGAACCGGCUUCUUAUCGGGUGUUUCUAGUUAUAUACUUUUCUCUGCUAGGCGGGGGGAAUUUGCUAAGGAUGUUUCUGAGAAGCGAGAAGUUUUGCGUCACGGUAUUGGUUUGAAGAAGUUUUUCUUUCUCUGUUGAGUUAAGAGUUGAGGAUUUUUCGGGGGCCGCUUUUUUGCGCCGAUUCUUUCUGGUACCGAACCUAUAAUAGUAAUAAUUAUAAGAAUCUCUGUUGAGAGUGUAAAUAUGCGAGCGUGAAGAUUAGGCCCAGGCUAGGAGUAAUUUUUGGCUUGGACACAAUGAUGGCAGUUAUUAGGUGCAAUACUCCAACCGUAAACGGUUGUGUUAUGACGGAACAACGGACAACGGUUUUGUAACGGUUUUUUUUUUCAUUCUAAAAAAGAGUGAAUAUAAAAAAAAUAUAUUUAAAGUAACGAAGAAAAAUACAAUGGUUACAUACGUUAGAAAAUGUAAAGCCGUUGAAAAUCGAAUCGAGGCUGUGUUCAAGUCCCUCAGCAAGGACCGACUGUAAGUGCCUUAUUACUUUAAGAACAAAGAGUAAAAGAUAUUAAAAAAUAAUAAUAUAUUGUAACCGCGAAAUAAUGGUGCACAUUACUUGCAACAAUUUCUUCCCCCAAAACACCGGAAACCGGAACUUCGGCCACGUGCUGCUCCCAUUAGGUCAUCACCUGCUGCUGGUAAGUUGAAGGACAUCCUUUGGGAAAUGGACAACAGCGACAACAACAACAACAAUGCUAGAAAUGGUCAGCAGGAAAUUAACAAACACAUCGACGACGAAGCCAAUGCUGAUAGAGGAGCCAGGAUAAUGGUCCCGUGGUGAUGUGGAUGGACUACAACACAACACGAGGAUGAUGAUUAUUGUCUCGGUCCAUUCCGGCUGGAGCCAGAGUCCAGUCCAAUCUAGUCUAGUUGGUGCUUGUCCUUCAGACAUUUCGGGUGCUGGGGGAAGAGGAUAAAUCUUUCAGCGUUGCAUCCGAUGAUGCUGAAGGUCAUUUCAGUGUAGUUUCUCCCUGCUUUAACGGACAGUUGGACCAUUUCGACAAAAGUAGGGUUUGAGGACGCUUACUUCCUAUCAGUGGCAGCAGUGUAGUUCAUUUGAAUGUCCAGUCAGGAUGUUCAACACUUUCCUUCCUGCACUGUGUUUUGCAGUGCCAACCAGUGAAAACUCGGUCAAGUGUAAUGGAAUCAGUUCCGGUCGAUUUCUUGAUGAAUUUCCGUGAAGUUUGUUGAAGCGUUGUGGAAGAUUUUGAAGCAUGGAGUAAAUAGAUAAACCAACUUGCUGGUGAUCUUAUUCUGCAACAUACCUUGUAUAAAACCAAAUAAGUAUUUGAAAGUACAGUGAAAAGAUGAGUUAAAAAAUGCAGCAGAAUUUUUUUUACGACAGUGAAGAAUAGAAAUUUGUAAAGUUAAAACCAAUGAGAGAGACACUUACUGCGAACAGAAGUCACCGUUGGAACUUGAGUUUGGACAUUUGUACGAAACCAACGACGGCUGGGAGGAGCGAUACGAACGACAGGACCACAAAAACCAUCGACAUCAGGGCAAAGUAUUUUAACUUGUUUGGUGACGGUUCUUACAAUGCAGGCUCUCGGAGGGGCAACAAAAAGCACUAUAUCGAGCAGCAUGAGCGCAGCUCCGGAUUGGCACCCGGAGGGGUUUUUCAAAAAAGGGUUAAGUGGGCCGACAAAAAUGGAGGCUUCGGAGAGCACUAUUGGGAUUUGAAUCACGUUGCUUAAGGUCUGCGCAGCAUUCCUCGACCGAGUUAUCAAUAAACGAUUCAAAGGAAUAACA